GCUGUAACAAUAACUUUCAUUGUGAUAUCAAUUUGUUUCAUUGUAGCUUCCACACAAGAUCAUUUUGCUGUAAGUCUGCUGUUCCCACUAUAUGCAGUUAUUCUUAGCCUAGACAUCUUUUUUCUUUACUCCUUAAUUGUAACUAAACCUAUAAUUAGAACUCUUCAUAGGAUUUUUUUGUUGUUUGUUUUUUGUGGUUUUUUUCCAAGUGUAUCAUGGACAGCUAUCGAGGUUGGAUGGAAGGAAUCAGCAGUGUCAGAAAAUCAUAAUGGAGGAACAGUCUGCAGGGUAGCAGCCAAGUAUCAGUGGAAGAAGUGCAUUAAUCUAGGGGAGAUAAUGCUUCUUGUAGCAGCUGGUCAAUUUUUAUCUUCUCACAUCAAAAGCAUCUCCACCGUGUAUGAACAGAAGCCUUUUACCUCAGCUGAAAAGCAGCACUGCAAAAUGAGAUUGACACAGCUCAAAUAAAUGACACAGAGGAAGAGGAUCACAAAAUAAAUAUUCUUCUGGCAAGGAAAUGAGCCA
rnacentral:lncRNA from 1 species